GAAUAUAUAUUGAGAUGGGGGUGAGGGGCUGAGGUUACCACUAUGGGACCUGAGGGUGCAAGAGGAGGAAACACUCACUGAAGCCUGAAGGCAGAGAGGGUUGUGUUCAGAGGGCCACCUGAAAGGGGCUGUGAAUUGGUGACAUGGAGGCAGCCAGCCAGAAGCAAAUCCUCAGAAAGGAAGCCUAGGGAGUAAAUAAUUUCGACCACACUCUCCUUCCUCCUUCUGAUGCCUUGCUGAUACCAUCCAUUGCCCAAACUUGACAGAUGGCCAGAGAUUAAACCAGACCCUUAAUGUAAUCCCCACAGGUCAGCCGCCUGAAGUACAGAGCAGGGUGGAGAAAUGGGACUAGAAGUACAAGCAGGACAUCUCCAGCUCAGUUGACCUCUUCAUACCAUCACUGACACACUGGUCUACACUAUUAUUUAUACUAUGUAUCUGAGAGGUACCAGAGAGAUGGAGGGAGGCCAAGGAUCUCACAGGAGUUGGUGACCUGCAGACCUGGUUGCACCCUUCUGACACAAGUGUUUCUUUACUUUCUGGCACCAAAAGAUGUUCCAGGCUUGUACCAUUUGACCCAGCAAUCCCAUUACUGGGUAUAUACCCAGAGGAUUAUAAAUCAUUCUACUAUGAAGACACAUGCACAUGUAUGUUUAUUGCAGCACUGUUCACAAUAGUAAAGACUUGGAACCAAC
rnacentral:lncRNA from 1 species